AUUGGAAUUCCCGUCCUUAAGCUUGACUCCCGGGAUCGAACGGUAGCACAGAGAGCUUGCUCUCGGGUGAAGAGUGGCGGACGGGUGAGUAAUGUCUGGGAAACUGCCUGAUGGAGGGGGAUAACUACUGGAAACGGUAGCUAAUACCGCAUAAUGUCGCAAGACCAAAGAGGGGGACCUUCGGGCCUCUUGCCAUCAGAUGUGCCCAGAUGGGAUUAGCUAGUAGGUGGGGUAACGGCUCACCUAGGCGACGAUCCCUAGCUGGUCUGAGAGGAUGACCAGCCACACUGGAACUGAGACACGGUCCAGACUCCUACGGGAGGCAGCAGUGGGGAAUAUUGCACAAUGGGCGCAAGCCUGAUGCAGCCAUGCCGCGUGUAUGAAGAAGGCCUUCGGGUUGUAAAGUACUUUCAGCGGGGAGGAAGGUGUUGUGGUUAAUAACCGCAGCAAUUGACGUUACCCGCAGAAGAAGCACCGGCUAACUCCGUGCCAGCAGCCCGCGGUAAUACGGAGGGUGCAAGCGUUAAUCGGAAUUACUGGGCGUAAAGCGCACGCGGGCGGUCUGUCAAGUCGGAUGUGAAAAUCCCCCGGGCUCAACCCUGGGAAACUGCAUUCGAAACUGGCAGGCUGGGAGUCUUUGUAGAGGGGGGGGUAGAUUUCCAGGGUGUAAGCGCUGAAAAUGCGUAGAGAUCUGGGAGGAAUACUCGGGGGCGAAGGGCGGUCUCCCUGGACAAAGACUGAACGGUUCAGGUGCGAAAAGCGUGGCGGAGCAAAUAGGAUUAGAUACCCCUGGUAGUCCACGCCGGAAACGAUGUUCGAAUUUGGAGGGUUGUGCCCUUAGAGGCGUGGCUUUCCGGAGCUUAACCCGGUUAAAUCGACCGCCCUUGGGGGAGGUAACGGCCGGCAGGGUAUAAAACUCAAAAAG
rnacentral:rRNA from 1 species